rnacentral:rRNA from 1 species
GACGAACGCUGGCGGCGUGCUUAACACAUGCAAGUCGAACGGAAAGGCCCUGCUUUUGUGGGGUGCUCGAGUGGCGAACGGGUGAGUAACACGUGAGUAACCUUCCCUUUACUUUUGGAUAACUUCAGGUAACUGGGGCUAAUACCGGAUAGGAGCUCCUGCUGCAUGGUGGGGGUUGGAAAGUUUCGGCGGUUGGGGAUGGACUCGCGGCUUAUCAGCUUGUUGGUGGGGUAGUGGCUUACCAAGGCUUUGACGGGUAGCCGGCCUGAGAGGGUGACCGGCCACAUUGGGACUGGGAUACGGCCCAGACUCCUACGGGAGGAAGCAGUGGGGAAUAUUGAACAAGGGGCGGAAGCCUGAUGCAGCAACGCCGCGUGCGGGAUGACGGCCUUCGGGUUGUAAACCGCUUUCGCCUGUGACGAAGCGUGAGUGACGGUAAUGGGUAAAGAAGCACCGGCUAACUACGUG